rnacentral:rRNA from 1 species
GGCUGUCGUCAGCUCGUGUCGUGAGAUGUUCGGUUAAGUCCGCUAACGAGCGCAACCCUCGCUGUGUGUUACAAGUGUCACACGGUACUGCCGAUAUUAAGUCGGAGGAAGGUGGGGAUGACGUCAAGUCAGCAUGACCUUUAUAUCCAGGGCUACACACACGCUACAAUGGCCAGUACAAUGGGUUGCCAAGCCGCGAGGCGGAGCCAAUCCUAAAAAGCUGGCCUCAGUUCAGAUUGCAGUCUGCAACUCGACUGCAUGAAGUUGGAGUUGCUAGUAACCGCAGGUCAGCAAUACUGCGGUGAAUACGUUCCCGGGGAUU